UCUCUGGAUUCUUCUUCUUUGUCUCUCCUUCUUCUUCUUAGUCUCUACUUCAUCUUUUGCAUUUGGAUUAAUGGAGCUCUCCAGCAACAAAUAGAGCUAUUUUCGAUUCGGAUAUUGAUGGCUUAUGUUCAAAAAGGAGUUUGACAGCAGCUAUGGGGGAUUUAUGAAGGAUGGAGCUAAGUGGUUGGUGGAGAACACUGAAAUCCUUCUUUGUAUGCAGCUAUCUCCAGUGGCUGGAUUUGUGAAAUACAAAGUGGGUGUUAGCAACUGGAAUUUUAUUUGUUGUAGCAGUUGAUUGGCUGUAUGAGCUGCUGAAAGCUAAGGCUUGAGGU